rnacentral:snoRNA from 1 species
UUGCAUGAUGACAAAAGGCCAUUGGCCUGAAUCUAAUCCCAGCUCGUCGAAUGCCUCACCAAAACAACGCAAGAGUGCAUCAUGAGAUAAAAUCCUACCUGAUAGC